GCGGGUAUGGCGGAAUUGGCAGACGCGCUAGAUUCAGGUUUUAGUCAGUUUUAACUGGUAAGUGUUCGAGUCACUUUACCCGCA
rnacentral:tRNA from 1 species